UCUUCUGAGCUCUGUACCCCGGGGAGGGGGGCGAGGCUUUUCUAGUCCCCGCUUUUACACUUCUCCUGGCCCCUCCGCCCCGCCUGAAAUCAGCCAGUCAAGGUUUCCUGACUAGCUGUGUGAGUCUACACAACUCACUCACCCUCUCUGGGCCUCACUUCCUUCAUCUGUAAAAAGGGGCUGUGAUGCGCCGUCUCCAGCCACUGCCAGCUCCAGCUCCAGCAUCUUGGAGUCUGAGGAGAUCGGGAGCAGCCCGGGCUGCAGAUAAGGUGCUCUCUGAGGGAGGGAGGCCGGCGCUCUUCUCCAGGGGCUGUGACCCCCGCAAUCGGUCAGUAAGGGGAGGAAUGUGUUUCAGGGCCAGGAAGAGAGACCCGAAGGCCCCCCACACUCGAGGGACUGGUCACGGGGCUCUCCCGGGGUCAUUCUCACCCUGAGCACGGCGGCCUCUGUGGACACGUCUCAGAUGACACAGCGCCGGACCUCACACGUGGCGUCCCGGUAGCCACAGUCAGCCUGCGCUCGCGAUCGCUGCUCUGCGGUUCCCAGAUCCGAGGCUCUGAAGACCAAACAAACCUCCUGGCCCCAAGGGUUUCAGAUAAAAAGCUGUGGACCGGUGAAAACCAUAAAACAAAGAGACAGAGCAAGAGAGAAAUGGCCUUGACAGUGAUUCAGGCAGUUCUGCCAUCCAUUGCACACAAUGACAUGUCGGAAGGUGGGGCCUGCUGGCCCCUCAGCUCUUCUCAGCUCCCGCAGGCCGUGCUACUGGAAGCAUCUUGUAGAUAUUCACAGGAAGGUGCGAAGAAAUGUACAGGGAGGUUCCAUGCACCCUUCACUCGCCUCCCCCGGUGUUAACGUCUUACAUCACCACAGGAUGAUGUCAAAAGCCGGAAACCGACAUUGGUACAAUCUUUGGAAUGUAUUCAGGUUUUACCAGAUAUACGUGCGUUUAUUUGUGUAUGUAGCUCUUUGCAACUUUAUCACAUGUG